rnacentral:rRNA from 1 species
AGUAAUCGCGGAUCAGCAUGCCGCGGUGAAUACGUUCCCGGGCCUUGUACACACCGCCCGUCACACCAUGGGAGCCGGUAAUACCCGAAGUCAGUAGUCCAACCUCGUGAGGACGCUGCCGAAGGUAGGAUUGGCGACUGGGGUGAAGUCGUAACAAGGUAAC